GUGGAAUUUCGUAUCCUGCAGUG
rnacentral:piRNA from 1 species